AGGCACGUAGCUCAGGGGGAGAGCGCUACCCUGACACGGUAGAAGUCCGCGGUUCAAAUCCGCGCGUGCCUACCA
rnacentral:tRNA from 6 species